CCAAGCUUCCUUGCAGAUGACGUGCUGGCUCUUAGCGCGCGGCUAAAGAAGCGCAAGCUGGAAACGUUUCAUCUACCUCGCGGAGGGCAACCGUCUGUGAAGGGUGCGUUCGCCCGCCACGGUUGCUUUCGGUUAAAAUUCCAGACUAACAUCCGUCAACGUUGCCCCCUUCGCUUUCCAGGCCGUCGUUCGUGCGAUUUAAAUUCCGCGGGCAGCCCCCGUGAGCUCGGCCUCGCGGCCUCCCGGCCACUGCAUCCUGGCAUUGGCCACAUCUCACAGAAAACAAAGUAAAGCAGCCUGGGGAUGAGUUAAACACUCGCCAUGAAACCCAGGUGCCUGCCUCUACUCACCAUGCCACCUGUCUCUAUGUAACCAAUGAAGACCCCGAUUGAUGCCUGCCUAAUGCUGACAUGAGCGGCGAGUGAUGUCUGAUGCGGUCCUGGUCCCGACCUCAUCAACCCACACUGAUGCGCCAUAAAGGUCGGCCACACAACCACGAUGGCCGACACGGACGUGAGGGAGAGCUCAUGGGCAUGGCAGCACCUUGGUAGCUGAGCACGAAGAAGCCGCUGGUGGAGAAGUCGCUGUGGAACUUCACGAGGACCUGGUGAGAAGUGCUGCGCACCGACUCCAGCGCUGUGUUGCCACUGAACUGGCC